GGGGGCAGAAUUGAGGCAAAUGUUCAGGCGCGCAUACAAAUUUUCUAUUUUUCGGUCUUCUCCUUCUCUAACUUAACGUGACUCUCCCUCUCUCAGUGACUCAAUCUCUGUUUCAGUUUCAUUUGCUUCUCCCUCUCUUAAUUUGCGCCUCUUCCUCUCUCAACUCUCAGUCUCCAUUUUCAUUCCUCCUCCUCUUCACUUCCUCCAGGUUUGUUCCAUGUUUUUUCUUUGUUAUUUUUUCUAUUUUGUUGCUGAAUGUUGAUGCUUGUUAAUGGGUGAAUCAAUGAGUUGAUUAUUUAAAUUCCAAACUGCAAUUUAUAAUUGUUGAUUAUCCCUAAUUUUGAUUUCUCAAUCCCUAAUUUAGAAUUGUUGAUUCUUCUCUUUGUUUGUCCAAAGAGAAUUGUUAAUUUCAGAAUUUUGAUUCUAUGUUGUAUAAGUUGAUCAAGUCCAAUGUAAUAACUUGAAUAAUGAGAAGGUAAGGAUUUCUUAGGAUUAUUACUUCAAGAGGCUCAAAUUUUCCUAAAUAGCUUAAAACAAGUUAAAUACUUUCAUGGAUGUGUGAAUAAAUUAGAAACUUUGCUCAUUGUUUGAUAUAUCAAUAUAGCAUAAUUGUUAUAACCACUUUGUAGUAUUUUUGGGCGCCUGUUGGUGUGUUUGUUUGGCCUGUGAUGCUUUGAUUUGGCUAAGUUGUUAUAGCAGCAUUUUUUAGCUUGUCAUGUAGGUGUUUUUGAGGGGCUUUGCUGUCAUGUAGCUCUGUCAUUUUUUAACUGCAUUUUUUGUUAAAAAAUUCAUGAAUAAAUUUAAAAAAAAUGGCUUAAAUAUGAAAAUUGUCCCUGCAAAUAUCUAACAUUUUGGUUUUUAGUCCCUGUAAAAAUAUUUUUUUGGUUUUAGUCCCUGCAAAUAUAAAAAAUUUGGUUUUGGUCCUUGGUAUUUUGUUUUAGUCCUUGUAAAAUUGAUUCAUAUUGGAUUUAGUCCUUGUAAUAUGUAGAAUAUUUGAUUUUAGUCCCUCAAAAUGAGGAUUAAAAUGAAUAUUUUAGGGACCAAUUUCAAUAUGAAAUGAUUUUACAAAGAUUAAAACAAAAUACCAAGGAUCAAAACCAAAUAUUCUAUAUUUGCAGGGACUAAAACAAAAAAAAUAUUUUUAUAGGGACUAAAUCCAAAACGCCAAAUAUAUACGGGGACCAUUUCCAUAUUUCAGCCUAAAAAAAAAUACACAUUUCAGCUAAAAUGCAUUCCUUUACAUCUUAUAUUGUAUAGUGUGAUUACUACUGUAAUUUUGUGCAUUCAAAAUUAUUGUUAAAAGAUUCUGAUAUUGAAUAUUGUUAUAGUUUCUGAUAAAGCCAUUAGCGCAGAUGUUUAUUCAAAAUUAUAUUUCUGAUAAAGCCAUUAACGCAGAUGUUUAUAGUUUCUGAUAAAGCAUUACUGCAUUCAAAAUUAUUCGAACAUUCACUCGAAAGAGGUCGUAGAAAGGACAUUUACCUCCUAAUUUUAUUUAGGAUGCUUUUUUUAGGUUAUAUUUCAUCUUUCUUAUUUCAAAUUGUACUUUUGUUGAAAAAAUGACGAACCUCUUUUAUUUUAAUUUAUG
rnacentral:lncRNA from 1 species